UUAAAUCUCAAAACGAUGCGUGUUGUCCCCCGAACCACGCCGCGGUUUCCCUCCAGAGACUCCCGCUUGCCUCGCGGGAAAGUGUUUUAUGCCUUUUCUGUACAGUAACAAAGGAUUUUAUAUGGAUAAAGACUUUAAAUAGUAUACUAUGUAUGCCACGUGGCUAGUAAUCUUGUUAGCUAAAGACGUUUGACUCUAGUUGGGCGCUUGUUUUAAAAGAGAAAUAGUGGCCCAUGGGCAGAAAGCCGAGAAUUUGCUCUAUAAAGUAUACCGUUAUUGGACAAAGAAGGUAGCUAGAUUUGGUGUGUGUACUGUUUUUAUGCCGUAGCUAGAGUUGGUUGUGGUACGUUGUGAAAGUGUAUUUUUUGCUUCAACAGUGGUUACGAGAUGAUUUUUUGCAAUAUUUAACUGACUGGGAAAAUGAGGCAAAGGUUAGAUCUGCCGGCUCAGAUUGGAAAUACCAUCAUUUCACCAUAAGUAUACUCAAACCUUUGAAGGCCUCAAACUUACUGUUAACUCAUUUGUUGAGCUCAGUCAAUAUUUGCUGACCAAGCACGAGAAAGAAAGUUUAUUCUUACUAAGUGAGCGGUUAACCCAAGACCCAUUGGAGAAUUAUUUUGGCCAACAAAGGGCAAGAGGACAUAGAAAUGAAAAUCCCACAAUUAACAGUGCCUCUGAAAUGCCAAUGCAUUGAGGGUUCAAAAGAGUUUGGCCUUAAACCCAGUGAGAGGGAACUCUAGCAGAAAGAGGCAAUUGUUUAGAGACGAAGACAUCACAGUUAAUGACGAUAUGAAUUCCCCAUUACCAAAAAGAAAGUGUUCAAGAAAGACCAAUGCUAAAUAGCCAACUCUAUAGAUACAUGCAGUACAUUUAUUUUUAUAAUUAAUUGUACAUGCAAUGGUUGACGCCUAUAAUAUUUCCUUGACUUCUAAUUAUUAUUACAAAAUACAUAAUUAUAUAGAAUGCAAAAUACGAAUUAGCUCAGUGUCUUCCUGAUACCAGUGCUCUUCUUCAC